GGCUAGAGUUUGAUCAUGGCUCAGGAUGAACGCUAGCUACAGGCUUAACACAUGCAAGUCGAGGGGCAGCAUGAACUUAGCUUGCUAAGUUUGAUGGCGACCGGCGCACGGGUGAGUAACACGUAUCCAACCUGCCGAUGACUCGGGGAUAGCCUUUCGAAAGAAAGAUUAAUACCCGAUGGCAUAGUUCUUCCGCAUGGUGGAACUAUUAAAGAAUUUCGGUCAUCGAUGGGGAUGCGUUCCAUUAGGUUGUUGGCGGGGUAACGGCCCACCAAGCCUUCGAUGGAUAGGGGUUCUGAGAGGAGGGUCCCCCACAUUGGAACUGAGACACGGUCCAAACUCCUACGGGAGGCAGCAGUGAGGAAUAUUGGUCAAUGGACGAGAGUCUGAACCAGCCAAGUAGCGUGAAGGAUGACUGCCCUAUGGGUUGUAAACUUCUUUUAUACGGGAAUAAAGUGAGGCACGUGUGCCUUUUUGUAUGUACCGUAUGAAUAAGGAUCGGCUAACUCCGUGCCAGCAGCCGCGGUAAUACGGAGGAUCCGAGCGUUAUCCGGAUUUAUUGGGUUUAAAGGGAGCGUAGGCGGACGCUUAAGUCAGUUGUGAAAGUUUGCGGCUCAACCGUAAAAUUGCAGUUGAUACUGGGUGUCUUGAGUACAGUAGAGGCAGGCGGAAUUCGUGGUGUAGCGGUGAAAUGCUUAGAUAUCACGAAGAACUCCGAUUGCGAAGGCAGCUUGCUGGACUGUAACUGACGCUGAUGCUCGAAAGUGUGGGUAUCAAACAGGAUUAGAUACCCUGGUAGUCCACACAGUAAACGAU
rnacentral:rRNA from 1 species